CAAGUAUGUAGUGGAGAAAGAAACCAGCAUAAAUACAUUAUUAAUAAUAUUAAUAAGAAGACCCAGUGGAAUUGAAAUGUGCCACUAGCUUCACCCCCGCCCCCUCCUAACAUGACUUGUUCGAAAAACCCACAGCCAGGAGUCAGGGAUGUUGCAAUUGAGUUGUCAAACUGUCCUGGAUGUCUUAUACAAACUGAACAGGCCAAUUUACUGCAACAGUUGCAUAGGCUGAAGGCUCCUAUCUUGCCUUCUGGGCUUCCCCCCUGGAGAGAUUUUCGUGCUGGACAACAGGCUCCCUCCCUAGCAGCUGCAACUCCUAGAUUCCUUCUAAUCAGCCUAUCCUAGGUAUUAACAGUACUGUGUUACCAUUACUUUGUGACCAGCCUACUUGGCUAGGCAGGGGAGAAGCUCUUGCCCUGCAAUAGGAAAGCAACAGCUUUAUGUGUUUGGUGAGAUUUCUGAAUCCUAGUGGUAAUUUGAUUUCAUUGUCUUCAUUGUAGCUCCAGCCCCUGGCUUUCAGGAUGAAAACAAGCAGGCUUUUAGGGGGCAGGGUGGGGGGGCGGCGGGGAAAGACAACUUCUCCCACACAGGCCCUGAGUUUCUUUGGCUAUUACUAACCCAAGGAGCGUGGGGGUUGCUUUGAAACGCAGCUGUUCUGACUCUGCCCUCCAGGUGGCAGCGGUGCCCCACCGCAGAGGCUCCAAUCCCCUCGUCCCCGACUUCAAGUGUUAAUGCAAUUGACCAAUCAGUGCUAAGAUGAUGGGAGGUAAUUGGGUAAUUGUAUUUUACUGAUCACAAGAAGAGAGAGAGGAAGGAAAGAGGGGCCGAGGAGGGAAGGGGACUGCGGUCCGAGAGAAGAUUUGGGAGCUAGGACCCUGGGCGUCGGGACGUGGCAGUGGCUGAGGGAAAGCUUAGACUCAGAAGCUGCUGCCGGCACUGGGAGCAUUUAUUUAUUUGGGGGAAAAGAACGGAGAGAGGCGCGAGAGGGAGGGAAGAGAGUUCAAGCCGAAGUGGAUGGACGGGGACCGGGGUUCUGCCGCUCUGGGAGCCGAGGGUCGGGCGCUGGCUCUAAGGUCGGCGCCGAGUAGCUGCGCUCCCGAGCACCGUCUCCUCGCUGUGGACUAGCCGGCGUCGGGAAGGUCUGCGCCAAAAGGAACCAACUUGUGGCUCCCAAAUGUACCCGACGCAGCUGGAAACGAGAUCAAAACUGCAGUUUCAGUCCAGGAGGAUAAGAAGAGCCAGCGAUUAGGGAUUUAUUUUUCAUCCCAUUUCCCGUUUUCUUUCCACGUUAUUUUUUUAAUUUGCCUAACACCCUGUAGGUCCCCGCACUUCGCCCUCCUCAUUUGAAAUAAAAGCCCAGUUUGAAGUUUUUUUCACCGCGGCGCCCCCGGACCUGCUGCCCGCUGAUGGAAGAAAAGGGGACCCGAGGGCUGGCAGGGGCCACCGGCGCGGGAUCGCGUCACGCGUCCCCCCCGUGAUCCCGGGCCUGCUCCGGGAGUUCUGCAACACCUGGAGGAACUGGACCGGGUGCCGGGGUGGGGGCGGGGACAGACGAAGCGAAAGCCACCCCGAACCUUAAAAAAAAAAAGGAGAGGGGGGGAAUGGGUUUCUUCUUGACAGCUGACGGAGCCUUGAAAUUUUUCUCCACUACCUCCGCCCCCGCCCCCACCCCCCGCACUCCAUUUAACGUGAGAUUAUGAAAUUGCAGAGGCGGUGGAGGAAAGGAGACAGGAUAUAACAGGGAGUUUGGAGGGAGAGGGGAAGGUGCCUGGCCGGGUGGCUGAAAUCAAAAAUCCAAUUGCGCACUGGAUUGUGAUGAGAAAUCUAAUCAGAUCUUUGGAGAAGGGGCCGGCCAGAAGGGUGCCUAGUGGGGGGAGUUGAUCCCCAAAUUCUUCCAAAGGGGUAGGGGGCUAGGGAGAAGAAUUGACGAUGUAAAAGGACACUUUUUUUUUUUUUUUUUUUUUUAAUUUUUGGUGGCGGUGGUGGUUGGGUGCCUUGCAAAAAUGAAGGAUGCGGGACGCAGCUCUCUUUUGGAACAGAACGCAGUGGAUUGUGCAAGAGAGCAGGAAGAACGAACCUUUUUCUUGUGAGACCUGGAUCUUAACACAAACGUGUAUAUGUGCACACUGGGAGUAUUGAAAAAUGAAAUAGAUCAGUGUCAGGCCCGCGGGAGUUGGUGGGCUCUGACAUAAAUAAAUAAUAAUAAAACAGCUGACCCCCCCUCUCCCCAAAAGGAUGAUUGGAAAUGGAGAACCGAGAAGCCACAAGGAGAAAGUAUGUUCAUUUUUUUUCUAUAAAGGAGAAAGUAAGCCAAGGAGAUAUUUUUGGAAUGAAAAGUUUGGGGCUUUUUUAGGAAAGUAAAGACCCGAUAUGGUGGUGUUUUCGAGGAAAUUAAUAAUACAUCUGCAAAGAAAUUUUGGAGAAGAAAAGUUGACCGCGGCAGAAUGAGGCAUUGAUUGGGGGAGAGAACCCAGCAGAGCACAGUUGGAUUUGUGCCUGUGUUGACUAAAAUUGAUGGAUAAUUGCAGUUGGAUUUUUCAUCAACCUCUUUUUUUCCUUUUUUUUUUUCCCCUUUUUGGUGUCAAGAUCAUGCGUUUUUGCUUGUUCUUAACCACCUGGAUUUCCAUCUGGAUGUUGCUGUAAUCAGUCAGAAAUACAGUAGUGACUUGCUCUCAACUGAAGCUCAAAUCAAGUUCAGAUGCUUUUCAUAAAAGCUCUUGUAGAGCAAACUACCGAUGCAGUAGUUUGUGCCUGGAAAGUGAGAACAAUGAAGGAUUCUGCCAUUUUUGACCACCAAUUACAUGGUAGGAACUGUAGUGGGUUGUUUGCCAUAUUUUGAUCUCAUUGUGCCCUUAAAAACUGCAAUGAUAAUAUAAAAUAUCAAUGAUAGGUAAUAUUUAUCGAGUGAUUAUUCCAUGUAGACACUGUUCUAAAUGCUUUAGCUUUGUAAUGACAUUGAAUUCACAAGGAAAUAAUCACUUUUUUUAAACAGGAAAGGGAAGCUUAGAUAUGUUUGAUGACUUACCCAUGUCACAGAGCUAGUAAAGGGCAGAAUUCCCCUUUGAAUGGACCCACCUUGUGUUUUUCGUACUGUGCUGCCUCUCACAUGAGAUGACUGGAGAAUAAAAAAACAACCUUAAAUUUGAAAUAAAUAAAAACCCCGAAGACCUGUAAUUCUUCCCUAUAACCUCAACUGCUUUUUAAUGAUGUUACUUUUCUCUCCCCUUUGCCCCGGGUUUCUCAACUUUGACUAUCUGUCACAGUAGUUUUCAGCCUCUGGUUUGGCACCCGGUGGCUGCCCAGCCACAGCUCCGGAUAUUUGAAAGUAAAGCUUUUCUGCACCAUUUAUUUUAAAUAUAAUUAUUUGAGAUUACCACAAAUAAACCACAAGAGUGUUUGGGGAGGGCUUGUUGUUUGCUGUUGGUUAGGGAGAGGGAAGAAAGGUUUCAUAUCCCAGUGGUUUCCUGGCAACUGAACUUUCAAAACCUCUACAGAUACUAGGAGUGGGCGGGCCUUCUUCCUGACCACGCAAUGAUGCCAGCAGUCGAAUGCAUAGCUGCCUGAGGCAGUGCCACAUAUUUGUUGUCUCAGUUGUAACCAUCAGAAUGCCUCUCCAUACACAGAAAAGGAACAUCGGGCCUUUUCCUCCAUCACUCCUAAGACUCUUUACUCUUCCCCACCAGGGGUAUUUCGGAGAGGUAGAAGGGGGCUACAGCUCUCAGACACUGUGUGUUUGCUGCCUUUCCCAAAAAGCUACUAAACAAAAUCACUGUUGUCAGCUCAUCUGGGCAUUGGGCCAGGUAGGAGGCAGUGACCCAAAUCAAUUCCCUUAUUCCUUCCGCAUAUCACCCUUGCUUUUCCUUAUGAGACGGACAUUGCAGGGGUGGGGAAAGCAGACACAACAUACUACAAUCCAGGUUCUGUGAACACCAAUGCUUGCUUGCUUAGAUGCACAUGUAAACACAUACAUAAAGACAGAUAUGGUCCCCACUAGCUUAUCUCAGUGUCCUUAAUCCCACAUGACUUCUGAUGGGCCUUCUAGAGACGUGUGCCAUUUGUCUUUCUCCUCCAUUCAAGAUGCAAAGAGAAAGAACUGUGUACUUGGCCAUAAUCUAUAGAUUCAGGGCUUGGUUUGACAGCUGAGAAUUCUUCUUACUGCCUACUGGACAAUUGACCUGAUAUUUUCCAUUCAAAGAAUAUCAAGUGACUUUAGUAUCAGUUGUGGCUUUUUAUCCCCCAAUCAGAGGUUUUUAAAAAACAAACUGGGAAGUUUGGUGCUAUUCACUGUUUUCUAAUAUCUGAACUACUGCUUCAUGGCCCCUGGGGCUGGCAAGACAGAGUAGCUUCUUGCUUCAUAUCAUCUCUGGAAUACGCUCCUUUCCUACCUGAGUUCAGGCUUCUAGUGCUUACCAUGUUGUUGCAGGCACCCUCAAUAUGGCUUCCAUAGGCCGUACUUCUUGGGGAAGGUCAUGUUACCAUCUUUCCUAUAAGUCAGGGCACACCUCAGCUUCGCAAGAAGGUUGCCCAGCUGAGUCUAUACCUGGCAGUGGUAAGGAAUGAGGUGAGAGCUACAAGAGCUGUUGCACAAACUCAGCUUUUAUUAAAUGCAUGUUCACAUGAGAUAGAAUAUCAAUGUAAUGGUGAUUACAUUAAUGCCUUGUUCUCUAUAAUAUCACACAAGUGUUAACACACAAC